rnacentral:ncRNA from 2 species
AUUGAUAACAAGGGGAGCUUGUGUGACAGGCUGAGAGGAAGUUGUGAACUUCGACCUAUAACCUGAUUUGGAUAAUGCCAACGUAGGAACUGUAAUCUCGUUUAUAC